AGGGGGAGCGCCGGAUCUUGGGCUGUGUCCCCAGCGCCCAGGGCUCCGGGGUCUGCACCGCUGGAAUUGGGCUCCCGGGCCCCACAGCCCACU
rnacentral:pre_miRNA from 1 species